AGGAACGUCAGGUGCCUCGCCGGCGCCGUCGCCGGCGGCCGUGGUGCCCGCAGUUAACCAGACGCCGCCGGCGGCGACGCCGACGCUUGAAGGAGGUGAGUCAAAGCGCCUUGGCCUUAAAUGGUACUUACUCCAUUUUAUAUUACAAGUUGCUUUCACUUUUUUUCUAGAAAAACUUAGUAAUGUCUACAACUCUAAAUUAGUUUGAUUAAAUCUAACAUGAAUAUAUUUUGAUGAUAUGUUUGUUUUGUGUUAAAAAUAUUAUUAUUUUUUCCGUAUAAACUUAAUCAAACUUUAAAAAUUUCAAUAGAAAAAAUCAAAAUAACUUAUAAAAUUAAACGGAGAGAGUAGAUUAUAAUUGAGUUACUUUUCUUGAAAAAUUUAGAUUAAGGCCCUGUUUGUUUCAGUUUAAGAUUAUUGUAAUCUAAAUUAUUGAGUCAGAUAUUAUAAGCUGGAUUAUAAUAAGCAGACAUAGAAUAAGUUGAUAGCUGUUUAUUUCUCUGGAUUAUUAGCUGGUUGUUAGGUGGUAGCCAUCUAAUAAUCUAAAAAAAGCACCUUUAAAGUAGAUUACUAGAUUAUAGAUUGUAAUAAUCUAUCAUAAUAAGUUAUCUGUUUAAUAAUUCAAAUUAUAAUAAUCUUAAGCUGAAACAAACAUUGCCUAAAUAUAAUUUUGUGACACUACUUAGCCUGACAUUUUACUUCUAAAAAAAAAUAAUCCAGGGAGGAAGUACAGCGUCCCUGGAUUGGUUCUUAUAAUUCUGCUGCCUACAAUAGCAGCAAUAAACGUUGUGGUUGGCCUCUGUUUCUGGAGGAGGAGGAGGCGACCAGUAACAGAAGCAAAGCGAACAUGUAUGUUCUGCAAAAUUCUCC
rnacentral:lncRNA from 1 species